rnacentral:lncRNA from 1 species
UUCUCUGUCGCUGUUUCACUGUUUCUUUUUCAUUUGUUUUUAGCCCAGCCCUUUUCAAUUUUUUUUUAAAAUUACUGUAGCACAUAUAUACAUAUAUAUAUAUAUUAAAUUAUUGUAUUAUUAUUUUUAAUUUCAGUUUAAUAUCAGGAUUAUUAUUUUUAAUUUCAGUUUAAUUUCAGUUUAAUUUCAGUGUAUUUUCAGUUUAUUUUCAGUUUAAUAAUUAUUGUUUCGGUUAUAUUUUAAUAGGGAUAAUUAAAUGUCUCAAAGUUCGAAAGAUAAAGACCCGGCUUGGCGAUAUGGCCAAAGAGUUGAUGGGAAGAGUACUAAUGUUGUAUGCAUAUUUUGCAACAAGGUUACAACGGGUGGAAUUUAUCGCUNNN